rnacentral:tRNA from 1 species
GCCCGGGUAGCUCAGUCGGUAGAGCAGANNUGAAAAUCCGCGUGUCGGCGGUUCAAUUCCGUCCCCGGGCACCA